rnacentral:sRNA from 1 species
GGGAAGAGUUUAAUAAGUUUUAAUGAAUAUCAUUAAACAAUAUCUGUUUGGGCUUUUAGCUUUUGUUCAAAUUUAAUUGUACCUUAUUUUUAUCUUAGUAUCAGUAAUGAAGAUUAACAACAAAAUUAUCGAAUUGCCUCCAUAAUACAUUUACAAAACGGGGUUGAAUUUUCCUUUGAAUUAGAAUUAAGCUUUUGAACAUUCGCGAUUAUUCCAUCAAUGCUUGAAAGAAAAGAAUUCACUGUAUAUUUCUGAUUGUUGAUACAUGUAAAUGGACACACAUCAGUUUGCCAACAAAAAAUAAUUGUUUUCCGGAAAAAAUAUAUAACCUCAAAAUAAAACAACGUUGUUUAGAAAAUUGGUGAUUUAUGUUCUGUCUUACUACAACAGUUCAAGUUGGUAUCAGUAAUCUAAAUUCCCUAAUUGGUUUCUAAAUAUUUAUUUCAAAUAUACGAAAUUUUUAGAUGUUCCAAAAAAGCCCGGAAAAGCAUUUCUGCAAACUCAACAGCAGUGUUUAGAUUUAUGGCAGACAUAAGCGUCUCUGUGACAAUGUUGUAUCUUUAACAGUUAGCUUAAAUACACUUUUUUAUGUUCUUUUACAUAUAUUUUUUCUCUUUUGAAUGAUAACCAAGACUUGAUUCCUGUACAUGUAGAUUUUUUAAAAUGUUUUAUAUCGUUUAUUAUAUGUAGUUUAUUUUUUGUAACUUAAGGGAAUGUUCUCCCAUCUUGUACAUAUGUGAACCAAAAAUGUACACAUUUCGUGAACUGACUUGUUUAUGUCUAAAAAAAAAAAAAACUAUUGUCAAAAGGUAAAUAAACCCAAUAAAUAUAUGGAUUU